rnacentral:rRNA from 1 species
AUUGAACGCUGGCGGCAGGCUUAACACAUGCAAGUCGAGCGGAGAUGAGGUGCUUGCACCUUAUCUUAGCGGCGGACGGGUGAGUAAUGCUUAGGAAUCUGCCUAUUAGUGGGGGACAACAUUCCGAAAGGAAUGCUAAUACCGCAUACGCACUACGGGGGAAAGCAGAGGAUCUUCGGACCUUGCGCUAAUAGAUGAGCCUAAGUCGGAUUAGCUCGUUGGUGGGGUAAAGGCCUACCAAGGCGACGAUCUGUAGCGGGUCUGAGAGGAUGAUCCGCCGCACUGGGACUGAGACACGGCCCAGACUCCUACGGGAGGCAGAAGUGGGGAAUAUUGGACAAUGGGCGGAAGCCUGAUCCAGCCAUGCCGCGUGUGUGAAGAAGGCCUUUUGGUUGUAAAGCACUUUAAGCGAGGAGGAGGCUACCUGGAUUAAUACUCUAGGAUAGUGGACGUUACUCGCAGAAUAAGCACCGGCUAACUCUGUGCCAGCCGCCGCGGUAAGAC